AAUAAGGUCAUUUUUCAGUUUUUAGAUAUAAUGUUUUGACUCUUCAUCUUUUUUGAAUUUUUUUAUGAUUAAUAUUUUUAUUGUUACUAGAUGAUAAAAUAUGAAUAGUAUUUUAUACGUAACUAAUUUUUAAAGUUUUUUAACAAAUUUUUUAAAUAAGACGAAUAGUCAAAGCAUUUGGCACAGAAAUCGAAAAAUGAUGUUAUU
rnacentral:pre_miRNA from 1 species